rnacentral:rRNA from 1 species
CCGAAUGGGGAAACCCAGUGUGAUUCGUCACACUAUCAUUAACUGAAUCCAUAGGUUAAUGAGGCGAACCGGGGGAACUGAAACAUCUAAGUACCCCGAGGAAAAGAAAUCAACCGAGAUUCCCCCAGUAGCGGCGAGCGAACGGGGAGCAGCCCAGAGCCUGAAUCAGUGUGUGUGUUAGUGGAAGCGUCUGGAAAGGCGUGCGAUACAGGGUGACAGCCCCGUACACAAAAAUGCACAUAUUGUGAGCUCGAUGAGUAGGGCGGGACACGUGGUAUCCUGUCUGAAUAUGGGGGGACCAUCCUCCAAGGCUAAAUACUCCUGACUGACCGAUAGUGAACCAGUACCGUGAGGGAAAGGCGAAAAGAACCCCGGCGAGGGGAGUGAAAAAGAACCUGAAACCGUGUACGUACAAGCAGUGGGAGCACGCUUAGGCGUGUGACUGCGUACCUUUUGUAUAAUGGGUCAGCGACUUAUAUUCUGUAGCAAGGUUAACCGAAUAGGGGAGCCGAAGGGAAACCGAGUCUUAACUGGGCGUUAAGUUGCAGGGUAUAGACCCGAAACCCGGUGAUCUAGCCAUGGGCAGGUUGAAGGUUGGGUAACACUAACUGGAGGACCGAACCGACUAAUGUUGAAAAAUUAGCGGAUGACUUGUGGCUGGGGGUGAAAGGCCAAUCAAACCGGGAGAUAGCUGGUUCUCCCCGAAAGCUAUUUAGGUAGCGCCUCGUGAAUUCAUCUCCGGGGGUAGAGCACUGUUUCGGCAAGGGGGUCAUCCCGACUUACCAACCCGAUGCAAACUGCGAAUACCGGAGAAUGUUAUCACGGGAGACACACGGCGGGUGCUAACGUCCGUCGUGAAGAGGGAAACAACCCAGACCGCCAGCUAAGGUCCCAAAGUCAUGGUUAAGUGGGAAACGAUGUGGGAAGGCCCAGACAGCCAGGAUGUUGGCUUAGAAGCAGCCAUCAUUUAAAGAAAGCGUAAUAGCUCACUGGUCGAGUCGGCCUGCGCGGAAGAUGUAACGGGGCUAAACCAUGCACCGAAGCUGCGGCAGCGACGCUUAUGCGUUGUUGGGUAGGGGAGCGUUCUGUAAGCCUGCGAAGGUGUGCUGUGAGGCAUGCUGGAGGUAUCAGAAGUGCGAAUGCUGACAUAAGUAACGAUAAAGCGGGUGAAAAGCCCGCUCGCCGGAAGACCAAGGGUUCCUGUCCAACGUUAAUCGGGGCAGGGUGAGUCGACCCCUAAGGCGAGGCCGAAAGGCGUAGUCGAUGGGAAACAGGUUAAUAUUCCUGUACUUGGUGUUACUGCGAAGGGGGGACGGAGAAGGCUAUGUUGGCCGGGCGACGGUUGUCCCGGUUUAAGCGUGUAGGCUGGUUUUCCAGGCAAAUCCGGAAAAUCAAGGCUGAGGCGUGAUGACGAGGCACUACGGUGCUGAAGCAACAAAUGCCCUGCUUCCAGGAAAAGCCUCUAAGCAUCAGGUAACAUCAAAUCGUACCCCAAACCGACACAGGUGGUCAGGUAGAGAAUACCAAGGCGCUUGAGAGAACUCGGGUGAAGGAACUAGGCAAAAUGGUGCCGUAACUUCGGGAGAAGG